rnacentral:rRNA from 1 species
AUUGAACGCUGGCGGCAUGCCUUACACAUGCAAGUCGAACGGCAGCGGGGACUUCGGUCCGCCGGCGAGUGGCGAACGGGUGAGUAAAGUAUCGGAACGUACCUUUCAGUGGGGGAUAACGUAGCGAAAGUUACGCUAAUACCGCAUAUUCUGUGAGCAGGAAAGCAGGGGAUCGCAAGACCUUGCGCUGAUUGAGCGGCCGACAUCAGAUUAGCUAGUUGGUGAGGUAAAGGCUCACCAAGGCGACGAUCUGUAGCGGGUCUGAGAGGAUGAUCCGCCACACUGGAACUGAGACACGGUCCAGACUCCUACGGGAGGCAGCAGUGGGGAAUUUUGGACAAUGGGGGCAACCCUGAUCCAGCCAUGCCGCGUGAGUGAAGAAGGCCUUCGGGUUGUAAAGCUCUUUCGGCCGGGAGGAAAUCGCACAGGCUAAUACCCUGUGUGGAUGACAGUACCGGAAUAAGAAGCACCGGCUAACUACGUGCCAGCCGCCGCCGUAACAC